GUACCCGGAUUCAGAGAUUGCUUGCCAGUACUCAAAUGGCAGAACAAAGUCGACUCAAAUAGUGAAAGGUAAGUGUUUUUUUUUUAGUAAGCAGCAAGUACAGUACAGUUAGUAGAACAACUGUGUUUUCAUUACUGUGUAUUUGAUAGGUGCCAUUGCCCCGGAAUUGGACAAGGAAGUGAUGGAACUUUGCCAAAAGCAACCCUUUGGUCUGAUGUGUGAUGAAAGCACAAGCAGAAAGACGGAUAAAGGUUUGCGAUCCGAAAACUGAGGAGGUGGUGACGAAGUUUCUGCACAUGCCAGUGUGCAACAUUGGCACAGCAGAGAACCUCUUUGAGUCACUGAACACAGCUAAGCUGUGACCACAAAGAUGAUGACUGCAUUCCCCCUCGACAACAUCAUCCUCCAAAACCUGAUUGUGUUGGACCCAGAGUCACGGCAUCAGUUUUCCACAAACUCAGGUGCAUCCCCUUUUUUAAUUGAUGGCAGUAGUUGUUUAAUAAUCAACUUCAGAAGUUAUAGAGCAGGGGUAGGGAACCUAUGGCUCUAGAGCCAGAUGUGGCUCUUUUGAUGACUGCAUCUGACUCUCAGAUAAAUCCUAGCUGACAUUGCUUAACACGAUAAGUAAUGAGUAAUUCCGCUGGUCAUCACAGUGUUAAAAAUAACCACGUAUCAACCAGACUACAAAACCAUGCAGCAUUAAUGGUAAGAAGUAUUUAAUUUAUUAUUGGUUACCUUCAGAAUAACAAUGUUAUUAAAAAGAAAAAGAGACUUAUUGUACUCUAAAAAUGUUGGUCUUACUUAAAAAUGCACGCACUUAGUUGUAUUCAGAGUUAAAGAAUAUUAUAUGGCUCUCACGAAAAUACAUUUUAAAAUAUUUGGCUUUCAUGGCUCUCUCAGCCAAAAAGGUUCCCGACCCCCGUUAUUGAGGAUAAGACUAGAGAAAGCAAUUAUAUCCCAAGCUCACUUGUGCUUAAUUUGCUCAUUUUCAUUUGCAGUUAUGGAGCUAGGAAAAAGUUUGCCGCAGCUGCGAUUGGACCUGACCAGCCUCCGGGUACAAGUACUGGAGUACCAAUUGCUUGCCAGGGAACAUCUUCCCCAGGAAGCAAGGAUUGACCGGUUUUGGGCCAUGCUAGGGAGAGAUGGAACAUUCCCCACACUCGUGCAUUUGAUGAAAGCACUUUUGUGCGUGCCACACAGCAAUGCAUCAUCAGAGAGGGUGUUCAGUAUGGUUCGAAAAAUAGUGACAGAGAAUAGAAAGAGGAUGGACAAUUCAACCCUUAACUCACUCCUUUCCUGCAAAAUAAAUUUCACAGAUGCU